CCUACGGGAGGCAGCAGUGAGGAAUAUUGGUCAAUGGACGCAAGUCUGAACCAGCCAUGCCGCGUGCAGGAAGACGGCUCUACGAGUUGUAAACUGCUUUUGUACGGGGGUAAACGCAGAUACGAGUAUCUCUCUGAAAGUAUCGUACGAAUAAGGAUCGGCUAACUCCGUGCCAGCAGCCGCGGUAAUACGGAGGAUUCAAGCGUUAUCCGGAUUUAUUGGGUUUAAGGGGUGCGUAGGCGGUCGGGUAAGUGAGAGGUGAAAUCCCGGGGCUCAACCUCGGCAUUGCCUCUGAUACUGGUCGGCUAGAGAGUAUGUGAGGUAGGCGGAAUGAAUGGUGUAGCGGUGAAAUGCUUAGAGAUCACACAGAACACCGAUGGCGAAGGCAGCUUACCAAGGUACUUCUGACGCUGAGGCACGAAAGCGGGGGGAGCAAACAGGAUUAGAUACCCUAGUAGUC
rnacentral:rRNA from 1 species